rnacentral:rRNA from 1 species
AGAGUUGAUCAUGGCUCAGGACGAACGCUGGCGGCGUGCCUAACACAUGCAAGUCGAGCGGAGAUAGGACUUCGGUUCUAUUCAGCGGCGGACGGGUGAGUAACGCGUGAACAAUCUGUCCUAUACAGGGGGAUAACACUUGGAAACAGGUGCUAAUACCGCAUAAGCCCACGGCCCGGCAUCGGGCAGGGGGAAAAGGGGCAACUCGGUAUAGGGUGAGUUCGCGUCCCAUUAGCUAGUUGGCGGGGUGAAGGCCCACCAAGGCGACGAUGGGUAGCCGACCUGAGAGGGUGAUCGGCCACACUGGAACUGAGAAACGGUCCAGACUCCUACGGGAGGCAGCAGUGGGGAAUAUUGGGCAAUGGGGGGAAACCCUGACCCAGCAACGCCGCGUGAGGGAAGAAGGCUUUCGGGUCGUAAACCUCUGUCCCAUGGGAAGAGCAGAAGACGGUACCAUGGGAGGAAGCCCCGGCUAACUACGUGCCAGCAGCCGC